AGUCCACAUCGACGGGGAGGUUUGGCACCUGGAUGUCGGCUCAUCACAUCCUGGGGCUGUAGUAGGUCCCAAGGGUUGGGCUGUUCGCCCAUUAAAGUGGUACGCGAGCUGGGUUCAGAACGUCGUGGGACAGUUCGGUCCCUAUCCGUCGCAGGCGUAGGAAAUUUGAGAAGACCUGUCCUUAGUACGAGAGGACCGGGAUGGACGUACCUCUGGUGUACCAGUUGU
rnacentral:rRNA from 1 species